rnacentral:rRNA from 1 species
UACAGAGGUCUCAAGCGUUGUUCGGAUUCAUUGGGCGUAAAGGGCGCGUAGGCGGUCACGCACGUCCGUUGUGAAAUCGCUCGGCUCAACUGGGCGGGGUCAGCGGAUACGGCGUGGCUGGAGCAAGCUAGGGGGCAAUGGAAUUCCCGGUGUAGUGGUGGAAUGCGUAGAUAUCGGGAGGAACACCAGUGGCGAAGGCGGUUGCCUGGAGCUUUGCUGACGCUGAUGCGCGAAAGCGUGGGGAGCGAUCCGG